rnacentral:rRNA from 1 species
GAUGAACGCUGGCGGCGUGCCUAAUACAUGCAAGUCGAGCGAACAGACGAGGAGCUUGCUCCUCUGACGUUAGCGGCGGACGGGUGAGUAACACGUGGAUAACCUACCUAUAAGACUGGGAUAACUUCGGGAAACCGGAGCUAAUACCGGAUAAUAUAUUGAACCGCAUGGUUCAAUAGUGAAAGACGGUUUUGCUGUCACUUAUAGAUGGAUCCGCGCCGCAUUAGCUAGUUGGUAAGGUAACGGCCUACCAAGGCAACGAUGCGUAGCCGACCUGAGAGGGUGAUCGGCCACACUGGAACUGAGACACGGUCCAGACUCCUACGGGAGGCAGCAGUAGGGAAUCUUCCGCAAUGGGCGGAAGCCUGACGGAGCAACGCCGCGUGAGUGAUGAAGGUCUUCGGAUCGUAAAACUCUGUUAUUAGGGAAGAACAAAUGUGUAAGUAACUAUGCACGUCUUGACGGUACCUAAUCAGAAAGCCACGGCUAACUACGUG